rnacentral:tRNA from 1 species
GUGCUUGUAGCUCAGUUGGAUAGAGUGCAACCCUCCGAAGGUUGAGGCCAUGAGUUCGAGUCUCAUCAAGCACGCCA